rnacentral:rRNA from 1 species
GUGAGUAACACGUGGGCAAUCUGCCCUGCACUCUGGGACAAGCCCUGGAAACGGGGUCUAAUACCGGAUACUGACCUUCACAGGCAUCUGUGAUGGUCGAAAGCUCCGGCGGUGCAGGAUGAGCCCGCGGCCUAUCAGCUUGUUGGUGAGGUAGUGGCUCACCAAGGCGACGACGGGUAGCCGGCCUGAGAGGGCGACCGGCCACACUGGGACUGAGACACGGCCCAGACUCCUACGGGAGGCAGCAGUGGGGAAUAUUGCACAAUGGGCGAAAGCCUGAUGCAGCGACGCCGCGUGAGGGAUGACGGCCUUCGGGUUGUAAACCUCUUUCAGCAGGGAAGAAGCGAAAGUGACGGUACCUGCAGAAGAAGCGCCGGCUAACUACGUGCCAGCAGCCGCGGUAAUACGUAGGGCGCGAGCGUUGUCCGGAAUUAUUGGGCGUAAAGAGCUCGUAGGCGGCUUGUCACGUCGGUUGUGAAAGCCCGGGGCUUAACCCCGGGUCUGCAGUCGAUACGGGCAGGCUAUGAGUUCGGUAGGGGAGAUCGGAAUUCCUGGUGUAGCGGUGAAAUGCGCAGAUAUCAGGAGGAACACCGGUGGCGAAGGCGGAUCUCUGGGCCGAUACUGACGCUGAGGAGCGAAAGCGUGGGGAGCGAACAGGAUUAGAUACCCUGGUAGUCCACGCCGUAAACGGUGGGCAUCUAGGUGUGGGCAACAUUCCACGUUGUCCGUGCCGCAGCUA